UCCAGGUCCUGGGCUACAGACCCACCCUACCUCAAGGGCUCCUUGUUGUUCCUUCCUGGGCACAUCAGAUGCCCUGAGAGCCCUCACCUGCUGUUCAAGCUCUGCCCAUGAAAGUCCCUGUAACUUCUGGAAGGCUCUUUGGGCUGCAGUACUGAACAGUGAAGAGCUAGGACUAGCUGAAGGAGUGGGGUGAUCCCUCCCACCCCUUCUGAAACAACUGAACAGAACCUAGAGGAGCUCACAGAAGAAGAAUGCUGCCUGGAGGAGCAGAAAAGAUGCUACUAGAGAUGGGCCUUAGGGAAUAAUAAUGAUGAUAACACAAAUAAAAGAGCCAAAAUUUAUUAAGUGCUUACUAAAUGCCAGCGAUUGUACUGAGGGAUUGAAAAUUAUUUUAUUUACACCUCACAAAACCCCACGAGGAGAUUGUAAUAUUCCCAUUUUAUAUAUGAAGAAACUAAAGCAGCAGAGGAACAUGAAGUAGCUUACCUACGGUUCACAAAGAGUGGGGGAGCUGGGAUUCAAACCCCAGACUGUUGCUGUGAUCCACCGACCACUCUGUGACUAACAUUACAACACUGACAAUAUCCAGGAGGAGCAGGGUCUCCAGGCCCAGGGACCAGGACCAACAAAGGCCAAGAGGUCCAUGUGGCCCUAAGGCUCACCCAUGGGGCACCAGCAGCAACAAGGAAGAGGAAGUCUUGGUGUUGUGUCCUUGUGUCAGGGAUGCCCUCAAUCCAUUACUCCAUGGGUCCACCACUCUCUCUACCCUGCCUCUAUCCAUGGAAGCUGCGAAGGGAAUGACUCUGGCUCCUCUGACACUGGCUGAUGCUGCAAGUGUCCACUCAACUUUCCAGAUCUGGAAGGCUUCAUCAGCCCCUCGACCCUUACACACGCCAGCACGGCUCUUCCCCUGGCAUUCUGUCCAAUGCCACAUGUGCCAUUCUCAUCUGGACUGUUGGUGAAUAUCUGCCAAGGAGACAAGGAGGCAAGAUGGAACACUGGCCCUGGAAUGAAGAGGCUGCCUUUUAAGCCCAGGCAACCUAGCCUCCAGCAGAGCGAGGGGUGGGGUGCUUAGAGGUAAGCAGUGGCCAAGAGCAGCAACUCUAGGCAGCUAGAGCCGGACAGUGCCACAUCUAGGGGCCAGAACUGGCCUUGCUUGGGCUUCUGGAAAGGUGGUAAGAUGCCCAGCUGAUUUCAAGUCCUCGUGGCUCCUGGGAAUCCAGGCCAGGGCUGGCCAGUCUCAUGUGAAGUGCUAACGGAUCCCCUUUCCCUCUGCCAGAGAACCCAGGCCAAAAAUUCCUUACCAGAAGUGAUGAGACCCAAUGCUCCUGCCUAAAAUCCACUGCGAGCGCCACCCAGGACAAGAAAAAUGAAACCAAUUUAGCUCCCGAUUAAGAAACAGAAACUGGAGAUGAAUCAAGUGCGCCGGCUGGGCUGGGCGGCCAUACAUCACAUUCCCGGGUGGAGG